rnacentral:misc_RNA from 1 species
ACUGUGGCGCGGCGGCGGCGG